rnacentral:rRNA from 1 species
UGCCUACAACAUAGAGUUAAUGCAUUAGAUCCCAUUAGAACUCCAUGAUUAAACACACUCAGGCUAGAGUAGUACUGGGAUCGGUGAUCACCUGGGAAUUCCUAGUGUUUUAGAUGC